UGUAGGAGUGAGCCUGCUCGCGAUGGCGUCAGUUCAGUUGAAUCAUUGUUGACUGACACACCGCUUCGCGAGCAGGCUCGCUCCCAUA
rnacentral:misc_RNA from 1 species